UACGAAGGGAGCUAGCGUUGUUCGGAAUCACUGGGCGUAAAGCGCACGUAGGCGGAUGUGUCAGUCAGGGGUGAAAUCCCGGAGCUCAACUUCGGAACUGCCUUUGAUACAGCACAUCUGGAGUCCGGAAGAGGUGGGUGGAAUUCCUAGUGUAGAGGUGAAAUUCGUAGAUAUUAGGAAGAACACCGGUGGCGAAGGCAGGUCUCUGGGCCGAUACUGACGCUGAGGAGCGAAAGCGUGGGGAGCGAACAGG
rnacentral:rRNA from 1 species